GCUUACGGCCAUACCACCCUGAACACGCCUCCAGAAGCUAAGCAGGGUCGGGCCUGGUUAGUACUUGGAUGGAGACCGCCUGGAAUACCAGUGCUGUAAGCU
rnacentral:rRNA from 1 species